rnacentral:rRNA from 1 species
GACGGAGGGUGCAAGCGUUGUUCGGAAUUACUGGGCGUAAAGCGUACGUAGGCGGCGGAUUAAGUCGAAUGUUAAAGCCUGGGGCUCAACCCCAGAGAUGCAUUCGAUACUGGUCUGCUAGAGGGUGAUAGAGGAAAGCGGAAUUCCCAGUGUAGCGGUGAAAUGCGUAGAUAUUGGGAGGAACAUCAGUAGCGAAGGCGGCUUUCUGGGUCACACCUGGACGCUGAGGUACGAAAGCGUGGGGAGCAAACGGGG